rnacentral:rRNA from 1 species
CCUACGGGUGGCUGCAGUAGGGAAUAUUGCGCAAUGGGGGAAACCCUGACGCAGCGACGCCGCGUGAGCGAUGAAGGCCUUCGGGUCGUAAAGCUCUGUCGUAUGGGAAUAAUAAAAUGAAUGUACCAUGCAAGAAAGGAUCGGCUAACUUCGUGCCAGCAGCCGCGGUAAGACGAGGGAUCCUAGCGUUGUUCGGAAUCAUUGGGCGUAAAGCGGGUGUAGGUGGCUUUUUAAGUCAGGUGUGAAAUCCUAGGGCUUAACCCUAGAAGUGCAUUUGAUACUAUUAAGCUUGAGUGUGGAAGAGGCUAUUAGAAUUCCUGGUGUAGUGGUGAAAUACGUAGAUAUCAGGAGGAAUACCGGUUGCGAAGGCGGAUAGCUGGUCCAACACUGACACUAAGACCCGAAAGCGUGGGGAUCAAACAGGAUUAGAUACCCCUGUAGUC